rnacentral:tRNA from 1 species
GCCUGGGUGGCUCAGUCGGUUGAGCAUCUGACUUAGGCUCAGUCAUGAUCUCACAGUUUGUGAGUUUGAGCCCCAUGUCAGGCU